rfam:Ornithorhynchus anatinus chromosome 6, whole genome shotgun sequence.
ACCCUCUCAGGGUUGCACCUGGAGAGUUUCCAGUACUCUAUCAGUCUCGACUACGGGAGGGAGAGUCAAGCAGAGGAAUACCCAUUCUACUCCUAACUUGGCCAGUGGCUAGCGAGUGGAAGGCAACCUGCUACAAGU